UACAGUCAGAGGAAGAGGCGGAGCUCAACUGUAGUCUCCGGGAUGUGGUUUUGCCUUCUUACUGCUGCUGGGGUGGAGUUUAUUGAAGAGCAGAGCUUAGCUAACGGCUGUACCGCCACCUAGCUCAUCCCUGAACUCAUCUAAUCUUCACAAGGAGGACGUUGUGGAGUCCACCACUUCUCGACCGUUACACACCGUUGGAACGACAUUGGAGGCUGAUGCUGCAAAGCGACAAAUCAAAACAGUGGUACCUUGAGAAAAACUGGAGCCUGGGCCGGUGGUAACACUGAAGCGGGUGGUGGCCACUCUGAGAGUGCAGACGUUCUUCUGCGGCUGGAACAGGAUGAUGUGAACCUUGGGGGCGAAGAGGCAGCCCAACACCACCGACCCACUUAGACUGACAGAGAUGCACAUGGUGGUGGUCUGCACCUGGAGGGGAAAAGAGAGGUGAAAAUUUCACUCUCAGAAAACAAACCAAUGGUUAGAUAAUAGGCUGUCUGGCUUCAGUCUCUCAUCCCUGUAUCUGCUGCGCAUUUCACAGAUUUUAGUCAGUGAAUUGAGUUCACGUUUAUGUAAUAGAAAAGUAAACUCACAUUUCUAGAUAAAUUUCGAGAGAAUUUGUAAACCUCAUGAAGUGCCAUGUUCUUGCACUACCUAAGUCCCAGUGUCAAUGCUGGUAGUUUCACUGUGGUAUUGAAAAUGUUUAUUCAAGUGUCUGUUCAUCCAUAGAGCUGACAUGACCCUGAGAGGAACAUACAAAACAACCAGAAAGUGUUAAAUUAACUCUGCUCAUGUGGAAUCAUACAAGCAUCGACACAAGGUUGAGGACCAUUUUUCUGUACAAGAAUAUUCAUUUAUCUAAGAAAAAGAUUCAGAUGUCAGAAAAGAAAUAAUAAAGGCGUUUAUGAUUCAGAAUCAAAGCCAGGUGCAACAGAGGAGGAAGGAGGAAGCUAUCAACUGUGUCUGCUAAAGAGAGGUGUUAAGCGAUCUGUUUAUUUCCUUGUCAAUCUACUGCUUAACCCUCGCUCCGUUUCCCCCUCAUCCUGCCCACAUCUUGCUAUGUGUCAUCGGUCUGCUUCUUCAUUUCCAAUCUUCUUGCAGCUUUCUUUUUGUUUUUUGUUUUUUUUUUUUCCCGGGAUAACAGGAUGCGGCCCUGCAUCGUGUGGCGUGUGGCAGAUGCAUCCCAUUUUCACAAGGCACAGCAGGUGUCUGUCAUCACCUUGAAUGGUAAUGUUGGGAUUAAAAUCAUGUGGGCAGCACCAAAUAUUGCACUGUGAACACACACUGUUCUGUAACACAGAUAGCAACGAAAAGGUCCAUUAGUUUCAGCUGGAUUGUAACUGACACAAAGUCAGUUAACCCAAUUUUUAAUCGGUGUUUAAUCAUGUUAAUGAAAUGUUUAUCAGUUCCGCCUCCCUUUCACUACAUAAUUUACAAUAAAUUACUGUAACAGUAUUGAUCAAUUGAUAAUAAAUUAUAUGAAGAUAGGGACUGAUUGAUAAAAGUAUCUAAUUUGAUAUUAACAUAUUUAAUGUAUAUGCUUGCAACACAGCAGUCACCAAGAUAAUGUGGGCGAGCAUUAGUGUACCAUGUAAUGUGAAACAGUUGCAUCACUGAAUUUAUCUUUGUAUCUCAAGAUGUGUUGCAGGUUGCCAUGUGCAAUAAAGUCAACAUUAAGAUUCACCUCAUGCCACCUCUGAAAUGCAGUACACAAGUCCUGGGUUGAGAUGUGG